CCUACGGGAGGCAGCAGUGGGGAAUAUUGGGCAAUGGGCGAAAGCCUGACCCAGCAACGCCGCGUGAAGGAAGAAGGCUUUCGGGUUGUAAACUUCUUUUCUCAGGGACGAAGCAAGUGACGGUACCUGAGGAAUAAGCCACGGCUAACUACGUGCCAGCAGCCGCGGUAAUACGUAGGUGGCAAGCGUUAUCCGGAUUUACUGGGUGUAAAGGGUGUGUAGGCGGGACUGCAAGUCAGAUGUGAAAACCAUGGGCUCAACCUAUGGCCUGAAUUUUAAACUGUAGUUCUUGAGUACUGGAGAGGCAGACGGAAUUCCUAGUGUAGCGGUGAAAUGCGUAGAUAUUAGGCGGAACACCAGUGGCGAAGGCGGUCUGCUGGACAGCAACUGACGCUGAGGCGCGAAAGCGUGGGGAGCAAACAGGAUUAGAUACCCGGGUAGUC
rnacentral:rRNA from 1 species